GGGGGUGGGGGGUAUAUACCCAGCUGUGGGAUAGCUGGAUCAUAUGGAAGCUCAAUUUUUAGAUUUUUUAAGAAACCUCCAAAUUGUUCUACAUAGUGGUUGUAGUAACUUACAUUCCCACCAACAUCGUAUGAAGGUUUCUUUUUCUCCACAAACUUGCCAGCAUUUGUUAUUGCCUAUUUUUGGAUGAAAGUUAUUUUAACUGGGGCGAGAUGAUAACUUAUUGUAGUUUUGAUGAAUUUCACUGAUGAAAAAUGUAAUGUUGAGCACCUUGUCAUAUACCUGUUUGCCAUUUGUAUGUCUUCUUUUAGAGAAAUAUUCAUUCAGGUUUUUUGCCAUU